rnacentral:rRNA from 3 species
UGCUGGAGGUAUCAGAAGUGCGAAUGCUGACAUAAGUAACGAUAAAGCGGGUGAAAAGCCCGCUCGCCGGAAGACCAAGGGUUCCUGUCCAACGUUAAUCGGGGCAGGGUGAGUCGACCCCUAAGGCGAGGCCGAAAGGCGUAGUCGAUGGGAAACGGGUUAAUAUUCCCGUACUUGGUGUUACUGCGAAGGGGGGACGGAGAAGGCUAUGUUGGCCGGGCGACGGUUGUCCCGGUUUAAGCGUGUAGGUGUGUGUUCCAGGUAAAUCCGGUUCACUUUAACACUGAGGCGUGAUGACGAGGCACUACGGUGCUGAAGCAACAAAUGCCCUGCUUCCAGGAAAAGCCUCUAAGCAUCAGGUAACAUCAAAUCGUACCCCAAACCGACACAGGUGGUCAGGUAGAGAAUACCAAGGCGCUUGAGAGAACUCGGGUGAAGGAACUAGGCAAAAUGGUGCCGUAACUUCGGGAGAAGGCACGCUGACACGUAGGUGAAGUGAUUUACUCACGGAGCUGAAGUCAGUCGAAGAUACCAGCUGGCUGCAACUGUUUAUUAAAAACACAGCACUGUGCAAACACGAAAGUGGACGUAUACGGUGUGACGCCUGCCCGGUGCCGGAAGGUUAAUUGAUGGGGUCAGCGCAAGCGAAGCUCCUGAUCGAAGCCCCGGUAAACGGCGGCCGUAACUAUAACGGUCCUAAGGUAGCGAAAUUCCUUGUCGGGUAAGUUCCGACCUGCACGAAUGGCGUAAUGAUGGCCAGGCUGUCUCCACCCGAGACUCAGUGAAAUUGAACUCGCUGUGAAGAUGCAGUGUACCCGCGGCAAGACGGAAAGACCCCGUGAACCUUUACUAUAGCUUGACACUGAACAUUGAGCCUUGAUGUGUAGGAUAGGUGGGAGGCUUUGAAGUGUGGACGCCAGUCUGCAUGGAGCCGACCUUGAAAUACCACCCUUUAAUGUUUGAUGUUCUAACGUGGACCCGUAAUCCGGGUUGCGGACAGUGUCUGGUGGGUAGUUUGACUGGGGCGGUCUCCUCCUAAAGAGUAACGGAGGAGCACGAAGGUUGGCUAAUCCUGGUCGGACAUCAGGAGGUUAGUGCAAUGGCAUAAGCCAGCUUGACUGCGAGCGUGACGGCGCGAGCAGGUGCGAAAGCAGGUCAUAGUGAUCCGGUGGUUCUGAAUGGAAGGGCCAUCGCUCAACGGAUAAAAGGUACUCCGGGGAUAACAGGCUGAUACCGCCCAAGAGUUCAUAUCGACGGCGGUGUUUGGCACCUCGAUGUCGGCUCAUCACAUCCUGGGGCUGAAGUAGGUCCCAAGGGUAUGGCUGUUCGCCAUUUAAAGUGGUACGCGAGCUGGGUUUAGAACGUCGUGAGACAGUUCGGUCCCUAUCUGCCGUGGGCGCUGGAGAACUGAGGGGGGCUGCUCCUAGUACGAGAGGACCGGAGUGGACGCAUCACUGGUGUUCGGGUUGUCAUGCCAAUGGCACUGCCCGGUAGCUAAAUGCGGAAGAGAUAAGUGCUGAAAGCAUCUAAGCACGAAACUUGCCCCGAGAUGAGUUCUCCCUGAGACUU